rnacentral:tRNA from 1 species
CUGGACCGGCAGGCCUUGAUCCUACAAACACUUAAUUAACAGCUAAGCGCCCAAACCACCCAGGCUUCAGUCCG